rnacentral:rRNA from 1 species
GGGCUAGCUGACCCGGUCUACCACCGGGAUGUUCAUAACCCUUUGUUGUCCGACUCUGUUGCCUCCGGGGCGACCCUGCCUUCGGGCGGGGGCUCCGGGUGGACACUUCAAACUCUUGCGUAACUUUGCAGUCUGAGUAAACUUAAUUAAUAAAUUAAAACUUUUAACAACGGAUCUCUUGGUUCUGGCAUCGAUGAAGAACGCAGCGAAAUGCGAUAAGUAAUGUGAAUUGCAGAAUUCAGUGAAUCAUCGAAUCUUUGAACGCACAUUGCGCCCCCUGGUAUUCCGGGGGGCAUGCCUGUUCGAGCGUCAUUUCACCACUCAAGCCUCGCUUGGUAUUGGGCAACGCGGUCCGCCGCGUGCCUCAAAUCGACCGGCUGGGUCUUCUGUCCCCUAAGCGUUGUGGAAACUAUUCGCUAAAGGGUGCUCGGGAGGCUACGCCGUAAAACAAACCCAUUUCUAAGGUUGACCUCGGAUCAGGUAGGGAUACCCGCUGAACUUAAGCAUAUCAAUAAUCCGGAGGAA